rnacentral:rRNA from 1 species
UAACAAGGAUUCCCCUAGUAACUGCGAGUGAAGCGGGAAGAGCUCAAAUUUAAAAUCUGGCGGUCUGUUAGGCCGUCCGAGUUGUAGUCUGGAGAAGUGUUAUCGGCGUCGGACCGUGUACAAGUCUCCUGAAAUGGAGCGUCAUAGAGGGUGAGAAUCCCGUCCAUGACACGGACGCCCGAUGCUUUGUGAGGCACUCUCGAAGAGUCGAGUUGUUUGGGAAUGCAGCUCAAAAUGGGUGGUAAAUUCCAUCUAAAGCUAAAUAUUGGCGAGAGACCGAUAGCGAACAAGUACCGUGAGGGAAAGAUGAAAAGCACUUUGGAAAGAGAGUUAAAUAGUACGUGAAAUUGUUGAAAGGGAAACGCUUGAAGUCAGUCGCGUCCCGUAGAACUCAGCCUGGCUUCGGUCUGGUGUAUUUUCUAUGUGGACGGGUCAACAUCAGUUUUGGGCGGUGGAAAAAGGCAGAGGGAAUGUAGCGCCGCUUCGGUGGCGUGUUAUAGCUCUUUGUCAAAUGCACCGGCUGGGACUGAGGACCGCAGCACGCCCUUGUGGCCGGGGGUUCGCCCCACGUACCGUGCUUAGGAUGUUGGCAUAAUGGCUUUAAGCGACCCGUCUUGAAACACGGACCAAGGAGUCCAACAUGCUUGCGAGUGUUCGGGUGGAAAACCCUUGCGCGUAAUGAAAGUGAAAGUUGGGAAGCUCCGCAAGGGGGUGCACCGACGCCCGGCCCUGACGUUCUCUGACGGUGCUGCGGUAGAGCAAGUAUGCUGGGACCCGAAAGAUGGUGAACUAUGCCUGAAUAGGGCGAAGCCAGAGGAAACUCUGGUGGAGGCUCGUAGCGAUUCUGACGUGCAAAUCGAUCGUCAAAUUUGGG